rnacentral:rRNA from 1 species
GGCGAUCAGAUACCGCCCUAGUUCUGACCGUAAACGAUGCCAACUAGCGAUCCGCCAGUCGACUCAUCGCUCUGGUGGGGAGCUUCCCGGAAACGAAAGUCUUCCGGUUCCGGGGGAAGUAUGGUUGCAAAGCUGAAACUUAAAGGAAUUGACGGAAGGGCACCACCAGGAGUGGAGCCUGCGGCUUAAUUUGACUCAACACGGGGAAACUCACCCGGCCCGGGCACCGUAAGGAUUGACAGAUUGAUAGCUUUUUCAUGAUUCGGUGGAUGGUGGUGCAUGGCCGUUCUUAGUUCGUGGAGCGAUUUGUCUGGUUUAUUCCGAUAACGAGCGAGACUCUGGCCUACUAAAUAGUUGACGCAUUGCCACUGUGCGCACAACUUCUUAGAGGGAUUUUCGGUGUUUUCAACCGCACGAAAUUGAGCAAUAACAGGUCUGUGAUGCCCUUAGAUGUCCGGGGCUGCACGCGCGCUACACUGGCAAACGCAACGUGCCUGUCCUGCCCCGAAAGGGGCGGGUAAACCCCUGAAAUUUUGCCGUGAUUGGGAUCGGACAUUGCAACUAUUGUCCGUGAACGAGGAAUUCCUUGUAGGGGCGAGUCAUCAACUCGUCCCGAAUACGUCCCUGCCCUUGUA